GUUUAGGUUGGUUCUUGGCAUUACUGCUCCACCCUAAGUCCAGCAAUGAGUACGGCUUACUGGAUUGGCCCAUUGAGGGUGAAAGGCCCGUGUGGGUGGAGACUCAGACUAUCAGUUUUGCCCUGAGCCAACCUUGGAGUCGGGUUGUUUGUGAAUGCAGCCCAAAGUGGGUGGUAAACUCCAUCCAAGGCUAAAUACUGGCACGAGUCCGAUAGCGAACAAGUACCGUGAGGGAAAGUUGAAAAGUACUUUGAAGAGAGAGUAAACAGUCCGUGAACCCGCUCAGAGGUAAACGGGUGGAGUUGAACUGGAAGCCCUGGGGAUUCAGCUGAUGAGUAUGGCAUGAGCUUGGGCAUAUUGGUCGGCUUUCAGAGUCCGCUUAGCUGCGGGUCCUUGCCUUAACGGGUUUGGAUGUGCGUUACGCUCAUUAGGCGUUGUGCGCUCUGUCUGUUCCGGGCCUGCUCGUCAGUGCAAUUCCUCAGGGUGUUCACCACGACCGGCGCUGCUGUCUGUCUGUUGCGGUCAAACCGGUUGAGCUUAGUCAUUUUGAUUAAGUUUGGUCGGGAUGGCAGGUAGCUCUCGAGAUUUUCUGGCUUCGGCUGGUCAAGCUCUUGAGUGUAAUUAGCCGACUGUAAUGGAUCUGUGCGGUGCGUCGGAGCUGGCGGCUUUGGUGUGUGUACGCGUGCUGUAGCUUUCUGGCUUGGUCAAGUUUGGUUAAUGUGUUACCUGCUUCGGUGGGUCUAUUAAUGGCUUGACUUUGCGUAGUGAGUGGUGGCGCGUGCGACACUAUCUAGGGCCAAAAGUCUGUGGUGUUGUGGUAAACUAUCCACCCGACCCGUCUUGAAACACGGACCAAGGAGUUUAACAUGUACGCGAGUCAUUGGGCGUUACGAAACCCAAAGGCGUAGUGAAAGUAAAGGUUCGGCUUGCCCGAGCUGAGGUGAGAUCCUGCUGUUUCUCUGCCUUGGACUACCAAGCAUUCGAGCAGUGGGCGCAUCACCGGCCCGUCUCAUGAUGUAGUCAUAUGACCUUUGGUUGUGUGCACCUUCCGGGCGGAACUAAAACGUACACGUUGAGACCCCAAAGAUGGUGAACUAUGCCUGCGGAGGUUGAAGCCAGAGGAAACUCUGGUGGA
rnacentral:rRNA from 1 species